rnacentral:rRNA from 6 species
UCAUUUAGAGGAAGUAAAAGUCGUAACAAGGUCUCCGUAGGUGAACCUGCGGAGGGAUCAUUA